GAGAACCCGAUGAAGUCGUUUAUUCAUAAUAUCAUCUCAAACAACUCCGUCGCAUUCUCCGA
rnacentral:pre_miRNA from 1 species